UUGGAAGUUGUAACUGUAGUCAUCGGUUGCAUGGUUCCUGCUCGAGGGUGACAAAUGUCAUUCCCCGAAAUUUUUCAUAUUUAUUUUCUUGUUUUAUUGCGUGCAUGUCUUGCAGAGUUUUAGGGCUCUGAAUUCUCGUUCUUCUGUGCAUACAUUGUAAUAGACAGGCGGAUGAAAACAUUCUCACAAAAAGCACAAACUGAAACCUAAAUAACGGAAGUGUGUCCUUUGUAGCAAUAUAGGGUAACAUCCAUCGUGUAUAAAGCGCUACCAAUCAGUGUAUCCACCGCUCAGUCUAUUUACCCAUUUGUUUUAAACAGGUGAUCCAGAGUAGGAGAGGGGUCGUUUGCAGACGAAAUUUCAAGGGAACAAUCUCUUUCAAUUUUUAUCUUAUUAUUUUCAAUUUGUAUGUUUCAACUUGAAAAUAUGGUUAAAAAUACUGGAGAUCAGACCCUAGGGCUGCUUUUAUUUGUUCAUAAUUCUAAUGGAGUGAAUAGUGCAGAAAGCUUCACAGAGGCAUUAGGUUUGGUUGCAAUGGAAGGACUACAGGAGGUAUCUGCUAUGGAGAUGAUUGUUAGCAUCUAAGCUUUUGAAGCCCAUGUUUACUAUUCUAGCUGAUGAUAAAUCACAUUCUUACCUUCUAUUGAUUGGAGAGACUUGGCAUUAAAGAUACAUUGACAACAGUUACUGGAACUAUCGUACUAUUUCAUCACACUGUUCUCGGGAGUUUGUAGAGGACAUUUAUGCUGCUGCAUGCAUAGCACAAAAGUUUCAGACAUAAGGGUAUGCAUAUGUAGCUCAGUUUGAUGAUGGUCCUUUGAGAGUAGAAUUGAUCACAAAAGAUAUUGUAAGGCCUUCCCUUUUCUUCAUGUCUCGGCCCCUAAAACUGUGUAAUCUGGUACAAGGAAGAGAUGAUGAUUAGUGAAUGUCAAAUGCUUCAUGUCUCGGCCCCUAAAACUGUGUAAUCUGGUACAAGGAAGAGAUGAUGAUUAGUGAAUGUCAAAUGCUUCAGAAUACUUGUACAAAGUGUAAGGAAUGUUUUCAGCCAUUUCAGUAAUCACUAAAUUGCUUUUCAGCAAUUUGCCAAUUGCAAAACCGUUGGACGGUGAAUUAUGCAUGUUUUCAGGCGUGAGACGGGUUUGACACUAAAGAUUUUAUUGAUGCGAUACCGGUGGUACUGAUCCGCAUAGUAUUGUCAAUGAUGCUGGUGAUACCGAUCCGCAAAAUAUCAUCAAUGAUGGCGGUGAAAUCACUGAUGCCGGUGAAGCUGACCCACAAAAUAUCAUCAGUGAUGCCGCUGAAACUGAUCUGCCAUAUAUCGCCAAUGUUGUCGGUGAAACUGCGUUGUUCAAAGCUGUUGAGGAAGGUCAUGGGAAAAUCGUUGCAGAACGUUUGCCUUUAACACUUCCACAGCACUACUGUAGGACAGAUGGCCAAACGCUUGUGCACUGUGCGGUGCAAAGAAGUGCUCAAGAAUCUCAUCGCUGCUAAGCCGGACCUUCUUAAACAAGCUGACUAUUUACGCAGAACACCCCUUCUUAAAGGAAUAUCACAUAUUGCAAAAAUUAUUUUAGAGAAGACUCGUCUUCCUGUUAUACAGUGGAGACAAUGAGGGAAGAAAUGGUUUUCACCUGGUGAUUGAAAAUGCAGUACAAAUUUUUGACAAAAUCGGGAGACGCAUAAAAACCUUGAUGUUGUUGGUGAUAUCAAAGAGGCUGAUCAAUGAAGCUGACAACCGAGUCAAGACGCCAUUGGACAUUGCGCUGGACACCAUGGACACAGACUAACGCCUUUUCGAAGAAGUGAUUCAUUUAUUUUGCAUAGUUCCUUCUACUAUGUUAAUUUAAUGCACCUUUCUUUGUUUUUGAAGCAUUCCCCUGCUUUCCUUUUGAGCCCUUUUUUCCAUGACAAAUGCGAUAGUAAAAUCCAAGCAAUUAUUUUUGAAGUUAUAAAUCAAAAUAGUGCGCAAGAGUUCUAUACCCACAUAAGCUUCAGAAUAGUCAAGCUGAAGCUUUUAUUUCUGUUUGUAUUUUUAAAUGUCACUCAUAGCAUUUUUGGGAUUUAUUCCUCCCCUGUAAAAAAGCUGAAAAAGAAGUGGUAGAAAAUUUAAUUUAGGCCAGUGAUCUAAAACUCUCCAAUCAAGGAUCUUAGAACUAAUGACCAAACUAUCUCCCACCCAAAAUAUGAAGACCAGAAAUCUAUACAAACCCUCAGGAGUCAGGAAUAGCUUCAUCACCACAAUGUCUAUAAAUCCCAUUAAACGGUUUGAGGUGAACUAAAUUGAGAAGGUCAAUAUUAUGCCGCAAAAAAGCAGGAAAGUGAUCCAACUGAGACACAGUGGUGGAUAGAAAUAGUUGAAAUAAAAACUGGAAAAAAACAUACUAGACACGGUGAUAGAGCCAGCAAAAUUUUCAGAUAGAACAAGUAAAGAUAUUAUAUGUAAGUGACAAAAUAACAUAUUUAUAUAUGUUACAAAUU